rnacentral:lncRNA from 1 species
UGAGGCCUAUGAGGGAUGAGAGCUUGGUGCGCAUUUGCCUGUGAAGCCUGGCACCUGAACUCAGCACUCUGCAACCCACAAUUACAACUGCUUUAAAGACAACCACCUCCUUCUGGCCCCCACCAUCAUGGCGCAGCAGAAAAGCAUGAUGCGCUGGGAGUAAGAUAUAGACACGGUGCGGUGGACGUGGAGGUGUGCUGCCCAGAUGUCCCUCCCGGGAAGGACUGGUGGUCCCAGUUCUGGGAGUGCUGUCAGCAGGUGCUUGUCAACUGUCAGCCCUUCGAGGCCUCCGUCAGCUGCAGAGGGCCGUCUCCCCCGGGGGGGCCGUGUCCGCAUCCAAUGACCGAUUGAGGCAAGUGUAUAAAAGCCCAGCUAUUCGGCCCAGUGCCGGACAACUCAGACGGGCUUCCCAGUCCUGCCUCCUGUCCCUUCCUUCCACAGGUGCUAAUCCUAAGGGCAUUCCCUAAUAAACACCCAAAGCCUUAAUUCCCUUUCGGAGGCUGCUUUCUGGAGAGCGCAACCUGCCACAAAUGAGUAUGAAUUUCAGAUCAACUACUUAGGAACGCUGUGACUUUGGGGAAACCAUGACCUAUUUCCUGUAAGACUCAAUUUCCUUAUCUGCAAAAUGGGAAUAAUGGUAACUUCUUCAUAGGAUCAUGGACUGAGGUCAGCCGAGAACUGUAUGUUCCUCAAAGCUUCAGUGAGAUGAUACAGCCCACAGCUCAGAGGUCCAUUGGGAUCAGUCAUAGACCUUACUCUGCCUGGGCCGGAGACUGCCAGCUCCAACUGACCUAGAACACUGCCCCCCAAACAAGCUUUGCUCUCCACCUCAUCCACCAAGGAGCU